AUGCACUUCUCAUUGUUGAAAUUAAAAUUUCAAAGCUCUUCUAAGAUUUAGGUUUUCUGUAAUAACAUUCAAGUUUCAGAGUUCCACUUUUAUUACUAUAAACUUACGGAAUUAGUUUCCAUAGUGACUUUUAAGAUUUUGGAAUCGUGUCAUAUAAGGACAAAAGCCAACCUAGGUAAAACAAUUACAGAGGUUUGUUCUGUAAUGAAACAAUCAGAACAUCCAGUAAAAUGUUGCAGAUAAUUCAAAGAACACUUUAGCAAGUGUUUCUCCCCCACUCAUAUACAGUGUUUUAAGAUGUUCACUUUGCUCUUCUUUUUGGUUACGUAAAUUUUGAUAAUUGAUACGUUUACAUAGUGUCUAAAAUAAAGUAUCUAGUCUUUAUUCACAGUACAUUAUAUUGUGUAAUGCACUGGACUAACUCUUGUUUACCAUUCAAGUAACAAAACCCAGCACAUUUAUCUGCACUAAGCUCAAAGAAUGUCACAUUUGCCCAGGCGGCUCUUUGAUAAGGGUGAUGGGAAACUGAAUAUAUACCAUAUGGACUGGUGGUAACAAGGGCUUUUACUGUUCUUUUCAGUGGAACCUUCUUGGUCGAAUUGUAACUAGCUAGUAUUAUAUUUAUAUACAGGGUCUCAUUCUUUACUAAUGUAUUUUCCUACUCAUAGCCAACCAAUAAAUUCAAUAUCUGUUUCAAAUAUUUAAAAAGUGUAAUUUGUACAGCUGUAGUACUGAGGUUUGAGAAAGCAAGUGUUAAUCAGCAGGCCACAUAUUUAAAAUUCUGAAUCAUCUGGGACAGGGUUAUAACUCACCUUUCCAAAGGGAAAAGUGAACUGGGACAGGGCCGUGAUAAGGGGAAAUGAAAUGGUGUAAACUAAUGUAUUUCCUUAUUGGCUGUGUUAUUCUGUAUAACACUCAUAUCUUUGCCAAAGGUCAAUUUUAUAUUUAGGCAACUGAUGGUUUUUUUGCAUUUAGGAUUUUCAUUGUUGUUACUAUAUACCUCAUAAUAUAAGAAAUAGGCUCAUGUGUCUUCCGUCUUUUGGAAGAAGGUUGACAUAUUUUAAAUAAAUACUUUUAAAUACAGUAGCAAACAUUGUGUUGGGAUUAUGCUGAUUCAUUAAAUGUUUUACUUGUUACAUG